rnacentral:rRNA from 1 species
CCUACGGGUGGCAGCAGUGGGGAAUAUUGCGCAAUGGGCGAAAGCCUGACGCAGCGACGCCGCGUGAGGGAUGAAGGUCUUCGGAUCGUAAACCUCUGUCAGCAGGGAAGAACGGUCACUGUGCUAAUCAGCAGUGAAUUGACGGUACCUGCAAAGGAAGCACCGGCUAACUCCGUGCCAGCAGCCGCGGUAAUACGGAGGGUGCGAGCGUUAAUCGGAAUUACUGGGCGUAAAGCGCUCGUAGGCGGUAUGUCAAGUCAAGGGUGAAAUCCCCGCGCUCAACGUGGGAACUGCCUUUGAAACUGGCAGUCUCGAGUUGGAGAGAAGUAUGCGGAAUGCGCGGUGUAGCGGUGAAAUGCAUAGAUAUCGCGCAGAACUCCAAUUGCGAAGGCAGCAUGCCGGCUCCACACUGACGCUGAGGCACGAAAGCGUGGGUAUCGAACAGGAUUAGAUACCCGUGUAGUC